GCACACGAACUAUUCAUAGAAAACUCUUCUAUUCUUUUUUUUCUACAGCUUGAACCAGUCUAUCGGCGAUCGUUUUCUUCAUUCCGAAACUUGUUUGUGAUUUCAUUUAGCAACGGGUCAAUCAUCAACAACAUUGACCUCAGGUUUGCAGCAGCAUCAGCCCCUAAUGGCACUCAGAUAUCAGAGGUUUUGGUCAAUGCAGCUUCAAACAUCACAGAUUUCAACAUUGACACAAGUUCCAUUUUUGUGGAUGGCACACAGGUGUCAAGUGGAGUAAACCACAAUAUGAGCCUCAUCACUGCACUCUGCAUGGUCUUGCUCUCAUGGCUUCUCUCAAGCCAGCAAUAAAGUCCCUGCUGGAUUCCUGGGAAUGAAGGAUGCUGUCCUGAUUGGAAACCAAAAAUUAAACAUAAAUUUAAACGUUUAAGUAUUUAUUGAUUUAUUGAUACCAUAGAACAAUAGUUCUUGCAAUUAGAAUGCCAGCCUAUCCAAAUAUGUUGGUGAAGUUUGUGACAGUAACAUAAAUAAUCAUCCUUAAAUGUAAACAUUAAGAUAAUUUCUUAGGGAUUGUUUAGUUUCAAGACUUUUCAUGCAAUCCUCAAUAUUUCUCCCUUUUUGAUCAAUGCAAAGUAAUUCAAACCAAAGUGGUCUGUGUAAUGCCCUCCAUGAUUGUCUGUUGAUCUUUCUCUUUUUAUUGUAUUUACAUUACAAAUAUAUUCUGUAUCUAUAAUUUGGUCAAAUAUAGUGCCAACUUUUCUGUAUAACAACAUAUAUUAUGAAGCAAAUGAGAAAAAAAAUGUUUUAUCAUGUUAUCAU